rnacentral:rRNA from 1 species
GAGAGAGACAUGCGCGCAUAUCAAUAAGCGGAGGAAAAGAAACUAACAAGGAUUCCCUUAGUAACGGCGAGUGAAGCGGGAAGAGCUCAAAUUUGAAAUCUUCAAGGUUUUACCUUGACGAAUUGUAGUUUAAAGAAGUGUUUUCUGCUGAAGUUUUGGUAAAAGUUCUUUGGAAUAGGACAUCAUAGAGGGUGAGAAUCCCGUAUUUGACCAUUAUUUUCAGCUUUGUGAUACACUUUCAAAGAGUCGGAUUGUUUGGGAAUGCAGUCCAAAAUGGGUGGUAAAUUUCAUCUAAAGCUAAAUAUUGGCGAGAGACCGAUAGCGAACAAGUACCGUGAGGGAAAGAUGAAAAGAACUUUUGAAAAGAGAGUUAAACAGUACGUGAAAUUGUCAAAAGGGAAGCGUUUGACACCAGUGUUGUUUUCUCGAAAAUCAAUUAAAAAUGGCUCGAUUUUGUAUUGCUUGAGACCUUAAAAGCUCACUGUACAUUUUUUCGUGUCUUUUUUAAUGCACUUUUCGUUUAACAAGUCAACAUCAGUUUCUUUUGUUGUAAAAGGGUCAUUGGAAGGUGGCUUUCUUUUCGGAGAAAGUGUUUAUAGCCUUUGGCCUCUGCAAUCGGAGAGACUGAGGUCUGCAGCGUAGACUCUUCGGGGUUAGAUACAUUUGUGCUAAGUUAUAGCCUUUUUAUAGACAACUUGUUGACUAUAAUUAGUCUUGCAGCUUACUCGCUUAUGCUAUUUUACCUACGCUUAGGAUGUUGAAGAUGUAGCACAUCAU